rnacentral:rRNA from 1 species
GACGAACGCUGGCGGCGUGCCUAAUACAUGCAAGUCGAGCGAGCGGAACCAACAGAUUUACUUCGGUAAUGACGUUGGGAAAGCGAGCGGCGGAUGGGUGAGUAACACGUGGGGAACCUGCCCCUAAGUCUGGGAUACCAUUUGGAAACAGGUGCUAAUACCGGAUAAUAAAGCAGAUCGCAUGAUCAGCUUUUGAAAGGGGGCGCAAGCUGUCGCUAAGGGAUGGCCCCGCGGUGCAUUAGCUAGUUGGUAAGGUAACGGCUUACCAAGGCGACGAUGCAUAGCCGAGUUGAGAGACCGAUCGGCCACAUUGGGACUGAGACACGGCCCAAACUCCUACGGGAGGCAGCAGUAGGGAAUCUUCCACAAUGGACGCAAGUCUGAUGGAGCAACGCCGCGUGAGUGAAGAAGGUUUUCGGAUCGUAAAGCUCUGUUGUUGGUGAAGAAGGAUAGAGGUAGUAACUGGCCUUUAUUUGACGGUAAUCAACCAGAAAGUCACGGCUAACUACGUGCCAGCAGCCGCGGUAAUACGUAGGUGGCAAGCGUUGUCCGGAUUUAUUGGGCGUAAAGCGAGCGCAGGCGGAAAAAUAAGUCUAAUGUGAAAGCCCUCGGCUUAACCGANGAAUUGCAUCGGAAACUGUUU